rnacentral:rRNA from 1 species
GAUGAACGCUGGCGGCGUGCUUAACACAUGCAAGUCGAACGAUGAAGCCCAGCUUGCUGGGUGGAUUAGUGGCGAACGGGUGAGUAACACGUGAGUAACCUGCCCUUGACUCUGGGAUAAGCCUGGGAAACUGGGUCUAAUACUGGAUAUGACUUCUCAUCGCAUGGUGGGGGGUGGAAAGAUUUAUUGGUCUUGGAUGGACUCGCGGCCUAUCAGCUUGUUGGUGAGGUAAUGGCUCACCAAGGCGACGACGGGUAGCCGGCCUGAGAGGGUGACCGGCUACACUGGGACUGAGACACGGCCCAGACUCCUACGGGAGGCAGCAGUGGGGAAUAUUGCACAAUGGGCGCAAGCCUGAUGCAGCGACGCCGCGUGAGGGAUGACGGCCUUCGGGUUGUAAACCUCUUUCAGUAGGGAAGAAGCGAGAGUGACGGUACCUGCAGAAGAAGCGCCGGCUAACUACGUGCCAGCAGCCGCGGUAAUACGUAGGGCGCGAGCGUUAUCGGAAAUUAUGGGCGUAAAGAGCUCGUAGCGGUUUGUCGCGUCUGCCGUGAAAGUCCGGGGCUUAACUCCGGAUCUGCGGUGGGUACGGGCAGACUAGAGUGCAGUAGGGGAGACUGGAAUUCCUGGUGUAGCGGUGAAAUGCGCAGAUAUCAGGAGGAACACCGAUGGCGAAGGCAGGUCUCUGGGCUGUAACUGACGCUGAGGAGCGAAAGCAUGGGGAGCGAACAGGAUUAGAUACCCUGGUAGUCCAUGCCGUAAACGUUGGGCACUAGGUGUGGGGGACAUUCCACGUUUUCCGCGCCGUAGCUAACGCAUUAAGUGCCCCGCCUGGGGAGUACGGCCGCAAGGCUAAAACUCAAAGGAAUUGACGGGGGCCCGCACAAGCGGCGGAGCAUGCGGAUUAAUUCGAUGCAACGCGAAGAACCUUACCAAGGCUUGACAUGUUCCUGAUCGCCGUAGAGAUACGGUUUCCCCUUUGGGGCAGGUUCACAGGUGGUGCAUGGUUGUCGUCAGCUCGUGUCGUGAGAUGUUGGGUUAAGUCCCGCAACGAGCGCAACCCUCGUUCCAUGUUGCCAGCACUUCGGGUGGGGACUCAUGGGAGACUGCCGGGGUCAACUCGGAGGAAGGUGGGGACGACGUCAAAUCAUCAUGCCCCUUAUGUCUUGGGCUUCACGCAUGCUACAAUGGCCGGUACAAUGGGUUGCGAUACUGUGAGGUGGAGCUAAUCCCAAAAAGCCGGUCUCAGUUCGGAUUGGGGUCUGCAACUCGACCCCAUGAAGUCGGAGUCGCUAGUAAUCGCAGAUCAGCAACGCUGCGGUGAAUACGUUCCCGGGCCU